rnacentral:tRNA from 1 species
GGUGGCUCAGUGGUAGAGUGCUUGCCUUGCAUGCAUGAGGUCCUGGGUUCAAUUCCUCAGUACCC